rnacentral:lncRNA from 1 species
UCAUAAAGCAUCUAAAUUCACCUUAUAACUUGUGGGAGGCUCUUUUACGAAAACAUUCGAAAUAGCAAUAGAAUAUUGAAGCCUUUGUUACAGAAAGACCAAAACUGUAAUGCUGCUACAUGACUAAUAUGUGCUAAAGUUGUAAAUCUCUGUAGUAAGAAGGCAUGUACAUGGCUCUAACAAAUGCCCAUUGAUGGACAUUUUAUGGUUGAUAUUACAGCGUAAAGGAAGUCGUAUACUUGUGCAUCUUAUCAUCCUCUUGAAGACGGAGAAGGUUGUGAAUGUGAUGAGAUUGAAGACGGAGAAGGUUGUGAAUGUGAUGAGAUUGCUGCAUGGUAAGAAGAUGAAGCUAGUUGGGCUAUGGCCGGAACAGCACCACCUAAAAAUUUUCAAAGAGAUGAAGCAUAUUAAUUUCGCAUUAACCCAGUUUUGUUAUGUACCAAGGCAGUUCCAACAUGGACUUUUUCUAAAAUUGCAUAAAGAUUGACUUUUCAAUGUACCAAAUCAUGAAUUCAUUUCUUUAUAUCUCAA